GGACACGUGACGGUCAUAAACGUCUCUCCCUCCCGUGUAUCUGACUGUUAGUUUGCAUGUAUUUGUAUCGACGUCACUGUGUGGCGUCUGCUGCAUUUGGUUUCACUCUAAAAUCAGACGGAGCGCGUUUUUCCUCUUCGAUCGCAGAUUUCCAGGUUCUGGACCACGGAGCAGACUCCAGGAUGUUUGUGCUGCAUGGUUUUCAUCUGCUUUUCCAAACUCUUGUCGUCUUCGCUCUGACUUUACACUCGUGUGAAGGCCGCUCUCUUGUCGUGGGUCCAUCUCAGCCAAUCGCGGCGGCCGUCGGUGAUGACGUCACGCUGCCGUGUCGCCUGCAGCCGCCGGCGGAUGCGGUUGCCAUGACGGUGGAGUGGACGAGGACCGGCCCCGACCGCAGGUUUGUCCUGGUGUGGCGCGACGGCGAGGAGCUGAGGAACAAACACGAGGCCUACGAGGGAAGAACGUCGCUGCUCACGGACGAGCUGAGGAACGGGGACGUUUCUCUGAGGCUGGUUCACGUGAGGCCGUCGGACGCAGGAACCUACAGGUGCUUCGUUCCAGGGUUGGACAGCGACGCUGCUGUGCAGCUCGUUGUAGGUCGGUCAGGUUUGUUUAUGGUCGAGCACAGAGUGAAGGAACAGUCUCAGAAGCUACGGUUUGAACUUUAACCUCCAGCAUCUGACCUCCAGGUUCUGUCUCCUCACCCGUGAUCCAUGAGGUCUCCAACACCAGUGACGUGGUGGUGCUGGAGUGUAGGAGUGGAGGCUGGUUCCCAGAGCCUGAGCUGCUGUGGCUGGACGCUGAGGGAAAGCUCCUCUCUGCUGGACCUACAGAGACAGUCAGAGGUUCUGAUGACCUCUAUACUGUCAGCAGCAGAGUGACUGUGGACAAGAGACACAGCAGCAGAUACACAUGCAGAGUCCAGCAGACCUCCAUCAACCACACCUCAGAGGCUCACAUUGAAGUUACAGGUGCUGUAGAACCUCAAUGAUCUCAUGUUACACAUCUGUUUCCAGCUGUUUCCUACAAACUGUGUUUCUCUGUGUGACCCUUCAUCAGGCAACAUCUUCCCGGGUCAGACUGAUUCUAGAUCCAGUUCUGGUUCAUCUGUUCUUGUCGUCGUGGGUUUGAUUCUCUGUAUCGUGGUUCUUCUUGCUGCUGUUGCUGCUCUGGUUGUGUGGAAACGAAGGAAGAACAAACAUGGAAAGAAGCAGCAGGAUGAAGAGACACAGAACAGGUCUGGAGCUAAUGAACCAGAGAAGGAACCUCUGAUGGAACCAGAACGGGUAACAACACAGACGGUGGAAAACCAGAAUGAGAUGAAGAAAACACAGACAGUAAAGAACCUGCAAACAGAAAACGUGGAUAAAAAACCACAGAGGAGAGAAAACAACAGUAGGAGCAAAGAAACAGACAAUGAGACAAUAGAAACAGACAGAGAACAGUUUAGAGAAAAGAGAGGAGAAAACCAGAGUGAGAUGGAGGAAACACAGACAGUAGAGAACCUGCAAACAGAACAGACGGAGGCUGAAGAUGAAGAAACACAUGUUUUGACAAAUGAAGAGACACAGAACAAGUCUGAAGCUAAUGAACCAGAGAAGGAACCUCUGAUGGAACCAGAAACAGACGGAGAACGAGUAACAACACAGACGGUGGAAAACCAGAAUGAGAUGGAGAAAACACAGACAGUACAUACACAGAACCAGGAAACAGAAGAGACGGAGGCUGAAGAUGAAGAACCACAUGAUCAGGGUUUGACGGAUGAAGGACAAUAUGAGGAGCUGAUGGAGAGAGAAACAUUAAGUGAUGUUGACAUAGAAAUGGAGACACUUAAGAACAAGGUCACGUUAAUUGACGGAGGUGAAAAAGGAUAUGAUAAAAACAUUAAGAGAAAACUAGGACAGAUAAAAGAUAAAGAAAAGCAGAUCAGCGACAUUAAGAAGCAGCUGAAGGAGCUGGAGACACAGAGAGAAGAGACUGAGAAGAAGAUGAUGGAUCCUGAUUCACAGAAAGAAGCUGCAGAGACACAUCAGGAAGUGAGAGACGCAAAGAAGGUGGAACUUCAGAAACAGCUGAAAAAAACAGAGGAGUGGAUGAAGAGAAUGAUGAAGGAGAUUGUUUACAUGUCUGAAACAGGAAAGAAACAUAAAACCACAAAGGGGAGAGAUGAAACCGCUAAAAAGACUGAGGAGGAGAAGAAACAGAAGAAUAAAAACCUAAAAACUACAUCAGACAAUUGAUUAUUAGAGCAGACGAAUGGUCAUAAAACAGACAAAACACAGGAAGCAGCUGAAAAUAAAGACACAACGAAGCAGAAAGGAGAGAAACCG
rnacentral:lncRNA from 1 species